rnacentral:rRNA from 1 species
GACGAACGCUGGCGGCGUGCUUAACACAUGCAAGUCGAGCGGUAAGGCCCUUUCGGGGGUACACGAGCGGGCGAACGGGUGAGUAACACGUGGGUGACCUGCCCUCAGCUCUGGGAUAAGCCUGGGAAACCGGGUCUAAUACUGGAUAUGACUCCAUGACGCAUGUUGUGGGGUGGAAAGCCUUGUGCGGCUGAGGAUGGGCCCGCGGCCUAUCAGCUUGUUGGUGGGGUGANGGCCUACCAAGGCGACGACGGGUAGCCGGCCUGAGAGGGCGACCGGCCACACUGGGACUGAGACACGGCCCAGACUCCUACGGGAGGCAGCAGUGGGGAAUCUUGCGCAAUGGGCGAAAGCCUGACGCAGCGACGCCGCGUGAGGGAUGACGGCCU